rnacentral:rRNA from 1 species
AUAUAUCAUAAAGCUUGUUUUUAAUCUUAAUUUAAACUCCAUAUAUUUUGAAAAAUAAUUUUUUUCUUCGAGUAAUUUUUAAUAAAACAAAAUAAACAACUAUAGUUUACAAGUACUUUAAAGGAAAGCCAACUAACAAUCAAUAAUAGAAUGAAUUAAAACCUUUACCUUGUGUAUUAGGGAAGAUUUAUAUAACCCAACUAUACUGCCCAUCCCGAAAUAAAGACAGCUAAGUUUAUAUUACCUCUACUGUAAAAUAAAUAUGUUUAAUAUAAACUUAAAGGUAAAAUGCUAAUCGAGUUUUAUUAUAUCUGGUUUUUUUAAAUUUAAUUAAAUUUCUAGCUUAGGUUAAAAUAAUCAUACCUAAAACUCAAUUAUAGGAGGGACUAGCUUCUUAUAUUAAACAAAUAAAAAGUAAUUAACAGAAUAUUAACUUCAAUUAAGCUUAAAAAUAGCUAUACUAAUAAAAUGUUACAAUUAAAUUAAUUAAAUAAACUAUUUAUACUUACUUUUAAAAACUAUAAAAAACCUAUAUGUAGUAAGAAAAAAUAAAUUAUAAUGAUCUUAUUAGUAAAAUUUUAAUGUCCGCUAUAAAACUAAAAUAACAAAUAUAAAUUAAACAAAAGAAAAAAAAAUAAAGGAACUCGGCAAACUAAUUCCCUGCCUGUUUAUCAAAAACAUGUCUGUUUGAGAAUAUAAAAAGUCUAGCCUGCCCACUGAAUAUAUUUAUUUUAACGGCCGCGGUAUUUUGACCGUGCAAAGGUAGCAUAAUCGUUUGAUUUUUAAUUGAAAUCUUGUAUGAAUGGUUUGACAAGGGAAAAACUGUCUCUGUUUUUAAAAUUGAAUUUAACUUCCAAGUGAAAAGGCUUAGAUAAAUUAAAAAGACGAUAAGACCCUAUAAAACUUUACAUAAAAUUUUAUUUAAUUAACUUAUAAACCUAUAAAAAUUUAAUAAAAACUUUAUGUUAUGUUGGGGUAACAUAGAUAUAAAGUCAAUAAUUGUCUUAACUUUUAUACACUUAUUAAUGAUUAAAAUUUUAACUGAUCCUUAAUAAAGACCAAGAGUUUAAGUUACUUUAGGGAUAACAGCGUUAUUUUUUUUGAGAGUUCUUAUCGAAAGAAAAGAUUGCGACCUCGAUGUUGAAUUAAAGUUUCUU